UACGAAGGGUGCAAGCGUUACUCGGAAUUACUGGGCGUAAAGCGUGCGUAGGUGGUUUGUUAAGUCUGAUGUGAAAUCCCUGGGCUCAACCUGGGAAUUGCAUUGGAUACUGGCAGGCUAGAGUGCGGUAGAGGAUGGCGGAAUUCCCGGUGUAGCAGUGAAAUGCGUAGAGAUCGGGAGGAACAUCUGUGGCGAAGGCGGCCAUCUGGACCAGCACUGACACUGAGGCACGAAAGCGUGGGGAGCAAACAGG
rnacentral:rRNA from 1 species